AGCGAGGACCAAUGACUACAACUCCCAGAAGGCCCCACUGAUGACGUUGUGGUGUUUUGGGAUCGUUGAUAUAGAUGGUAAACAACAACGGAUCCAGCACCGAUCGCUGCGGCACUCCACUGGUCACAGGCCUUUAUUCAGAGAGGAGACCAUCUAAUACCGCACUCUGGCUUCUCACACAAAGCAAAUGUGGCUGAGUCGGCGGAUCUGAGGGCUGCAAAGGUGGUCACAGCCGAAGGGUGGUAGUGGGGACGAGUUCCCCCGACUAAACAAAUGCUCUUCAUGGCGCGCGUUUCAAACAGCUUCUGACAACCAGAUCCGACUCCUGGCCUUCACGUGGCGGAGCUGUUCUACCCGACAGGAGAAGAGGCAAAGGAGGGCCACUGGCGCCUUAAAACCAGUUGUCCCGGGCAGAUGGGGCUGGUUAA